AUUGAACGCUGGCGGCAGGCCUAACACAUGCAAGUAGAACGAGUGGCGGACGGGUGAGUAAUGUCUGGGAAACUGCCUGAUGGAGGGGGAUAAAUACUGGAAACGGUAGCUAAUAUCGCAUACCAUCGGAUGUGCCCAGCUUGGAUGAGCUAGUAGGUGGGGUGAAGGCUCACCUAGGCGACGAUCCCUAGCUGGUCUGAGAGGGUGACCCGCCACACUUGAAUUGAGCCACGUUCCAGACUCCUACGGGUGGCAGCAGUGUGGAAUAUUGCACAAUGGUCGCGAGCCUGAUGCAGCCUAGCCGGGUGUAUGAUGAUGGCAUUCGGGUUGUAGAGUACUUUCAUCGGGGAGGCGUUACCCGCAGAAGAAGCACCGGCUAACUCCGUGCCAGCAGCCGCGGUAAUAC
rnacentral:rRNA from 1 species